rnacentral:tRNA from 1 species
GUGGGGCUGUAGCUCAGUGGCAGAACACUUGCCUAGCACGUGUGAGGCACUGGGUUUGAUCCUCAGCACCACA